rnacentral:rRNA from 1 species
GACGAACGCUGGCGGCGUGCUUAACACAUGCAAGUCGUACGGUAAGGCCCUUUCGGGGGUACACGAGUGGCGCACGGGUGAGUAACACGUGAGUAACCUGCCCACAACUUUGGGAUAACGCUAGGAAACUGGUGCUAAUACUGGAUAUGUGCUUCUGCUGCAUGGUGGGGGUUGGAAAGCUCCGGCGGUUGUGGAUGGACUCGCGGCCUAUCAGCUUGUUGGUGGGGUAGUGGCCUACCAAGGCGGCGACGGGUAGCCGGCCUGAGAGGGUGACCGGCCACAUUGGGACUGAGAUACGGCCCAGACUCCUACGGGAGGCAGCAGGGGGGAAUAUUGCACAAGGGGCGCAAGCCGGAUGCAGCAACGCCGCGUGCGGGAUAACGGCCUUCGGGUUGUAAACCGCCUUCAGCAGGGACGAAGCUUUUUGUGACGGUACCUGCAGAAGAAGCACCGGCUAACUACGUG